rnacentral:rRNA from 1 species
UACGAAGGGGGCUAGCGUUGCUCGGAAUUACUGGGCGUAAAGGGAGCGUAGGCGGACAGUUAAGUUAGAGGUGAAAGCCCGGGGCUCAACCUUGGAAUUGCCUUUGAUACUGGCUGUCUUGAGUAUGGGAGAGGUGUGUGGAACUCCGAGUGUAGAGGUGAAAUUCGUAGAUAUUCGGAAGAACACCAGUGGCGAAGGCGACACACUGGCCCAUUACUGACGCCGAGGCUCGAAAGCGUGGGGAGCAAAC